rnacentral:rRNA from 1 species
UACGAAGGGUGCAAGCGUUAAUCGGAAUUACUGGGCGUAAAGCGCGCGUAGGUGGUUCGUUAAGUUAGGAGUGUAAGCCCCGGGCUCAACCUGGGAAUUGCUUCUAAAACUGGCGAGCUAGAGUAUGGUAGAGGGUGGUGGAAUUUCCUGUGUAGCGGUGAAAUGCGUAGAUAUAGGAAGGAACAUCAGUGGCGAAGGCGACCACCUGGACUGAUACUGACACUGAGGUGCGAAAGCGUGGGGAGCAAACAGGAUUAGAUACCCGGGUAGUCCCUGAG